AGAGUUUGAUCCUGGCUCAGGACGAACGCUGGCGGCGUGCCUAAUACAUGCAAGUCGAGCGGACAGAAGGGAGCUUACUCCCGGAAGUCAGCGGCGGACGGGUGAGUAACACGUGGGUAACCUGCCUGUAAGACUGGGAUAACUCCGGGAAACCGGGGCUAAUACCGGAUAGCUUCUUCCUCCGCAUGGAGGAAGAAUGAAAGGCGGCCUUUGGCUGUCACUUACAGAUGGACCCGCGGCGCAUUAGCUAGUUGGUGGGGUAACGGCUCACCAAGGCGACGAUGCGUAGCCGACCUGAGAGGGUGAUCGGCCACACUGGGACUGAGACACGGCCCAGACUCCUACGGGAGGCAGCAGUAGGGAAUCUUCCGCAAUGGACGAAAGUCUGACGGAGCAACGCCGCGUGAGUGAAGAAGGUUUUCGGAUCGUAAAGCUCUGUUGUCAGGGAAGAACAAGUACCGGAGUCACUGCCGGUACCUUGACGGUACCUGACCAGAAAGCCACGGCUAACUACGUGCCAGCAGCCGCGGUAAUACGUAGGUGGCAAGCGUUGUCCGGAAUUAUUGGGCGUAAAGCGCGCGCAGGCGGCCUUUUAAGUCUGAUGUGAAAGCCCACGGCUCAACCGUGGAGGGUCAUUGGAAACUGGAAUGCUUGAGUGCAGAAGAGG
rnacentral:rRNA from 1 species